rnacentral:rRNA from 1 species
GACGAACCGUGCAAACGUUAUUCGGAAUCACUGGGCAUAAAGGGCGCGUAGGCGGCUUUCUAAGUCAGGGGUGAAAUCCGGCAGCUCCACUGUCGCAGUGCCUUUGAUACUGGAGAGCUCGAGGGAGGUAGGGGUCUGUGGAACUUCCGGUGGAGCGGUGAAAUGCGUUGAUAUCGGAAGGAACGCCGGUGGCGAAAGCGACGGACUGGAUCUCUUCUGACGCUGAGGCGCGAAAGCCAGGGGAGCAAACGGG